rnacentral:rRNA from 1 species
UACAGAGGUCUCAAGCGUUGUUCGGAUUCACUGGGCGUAAAGGGUGCGUAGGCGGGUCUUUAAGUCAGGGGUGAAAUCCUGGAGCUCAACUCCAGAACUGCCUUUGAUACUGAAGAUCUUGAGUUCGGGAGAGGUGAGUGGAACUGCGAGUGUAGAGGUGAAAUUCGUAGAUAUUCGCAAGAACACCCGUGGCGAAGGCGGCUCUCUGGGACGGUACUGACGCUGAGACGCGAAAGCGUGGGGAGCGAACAGG